AGUGAACGCUGGCGGUAGGCCUAACACAUGCAAGUCGAACGGCAGCACAGUAAUAGCUUGCUCUUACGGGUGGCGAGUGGCGGACGGGUGAGGAAUACAUCGGAAUCUACUUUUUCGUGGGGGAUAACGUAGGGAAACUUACGCUAAUACCGCAUACGACCUACGGUUGAAAGCAGUGGAUCUUCGGACCUUGCGCGAUUGAAUGAGCCGAUUUCGGAUUAGCUAGUUGGCGGGGUAAAGGCCCACCAAGGCGACGAUCCGUAGCUGGUCUGAGAGGAUGAUAAGCCACACUGGAACUGAGACACGGUCCAGACUCCUACGGGAGGCAGCAGUGGGGAAUAUUGGACAAUGGGCGCAAGCCUGAUCCAGCCAUACCGCGUGGGUGAAGAAGGCCUUCGGGUUGUAAAGACCUUUUGUUGGGAAAGAAAAGCAGCAGGUUAAUACCCCGCUGUUCUGACGGUACCCAAAGAAUAAGCACCGGCUAACUUCGUG
rnacentral:rRNA from 1 species